rnacentral:rRNA from 1 species
UGGGGAAUAUUGCACAAUGGGCGCAAGCCUGAUGCAGCCAUGCCGCGUGUGUGAAGAAGGCCUUCGGGUUGUAAAGCACUUUCAGCGAGGAGGAAGGUGGUGGACUUAAUACGUUCAUCAAUUGACGUUACUCGCAGAAGAAGCACCGGCUAACUCCGUGCCAGCAGCCGCGGUAAUACGGAGGGUGCAAGCGUUAAUCGGAAUUACUGGGCGUAAAGCGCACGCAGACGGUUUGUUAAGUCAGAUGUGAAAUCCCCGGGCUCAACCUGGGAACUGCAUUUGAAACUGGCAAGCUAGAGUCUCGUAGAGGGGGGUAGAAUUCCAGGUGUAGCGGUGAAAUGCGUAGAGAUCUGGAGGAAUACCGGUGGCGAAGGCGGCCCCCCUGGACGAAGACUGACGCUCAGGUGCGAAAGCGUGGGGAGCAAACAGAUUAGAUACCCUGGUAG